AAAACAGUUCCAGUAACUAAACCAGAAUCCACCGGUGAACCUUCAGAAUCAACUUCUCGUGGUGUUGAUGCUUCUUCAAUUCCUCAUGAAAACCAUGAUGCUGCUGAGGCUUCUAAGCCUCAUGAAAAUACUCCUUCUGAAACUGCACCUGUUAAAAGUGAUGAAAAUACACCUUUAAGUGUUGAUGCGGAUAAAGAGGAGUGAUAAUAAGGGUUGAAUAAUAAAUAAAAUACUAAUUCUACUCAAAUAAUGGGAAACAAAUGCAUAAGAGCUUCUGAUAGAGACAUCCUUUGUGAGUGAAUUAAACAUAUAGGCCAACU
rnacentral:lncRNA from 1 species